UAGGGAAUCUUCGGCAAUGGACGAAAGUCUGACCGAGCAACGCCGCGUGAGUGAAGAAGGUUUUCGGAUCGUAAAACUCUGUUGUUAGAGAAGAACAAGGACGUUAGUAACUGAACGUCCCCUGACGGUAUCUAACCAGAAAGCCACGGCUAACUACGUGCCAGCAGCCGCGGUAAUACGUAGGUGGCAAGCGUUGUCCGGAUUUAUUGGGCGUAAAGCGAGCGCAGGCGGUUUCUUAAGUCUGAUGUGAAAGCCCCCGGCUCAACCGGGGAGGGUCAUUGGAAACUGGGAGACUUGAGUGCAGAAGAGGAGAGUGGAAUUCUGUGUGUAGCGGUGAAAUGCGUAUAUAUAUGGAGGAACACCAGUGGCGAAGGCGGCUCUCUGGUCUGUAACUGACGCUGAGGCUCGAAAGCGUGGGGAGCAAACAGG
rnacentral:rRNA from 1 species